CCGCACCACGAGGAACACUCCGCGGUCCUUAACCUCCCCGCCUGCCGCGGGCCCUCACUCGGGGAGCGUGGCCACCUCGGCGCGCAGCGAGCCUCCUCCGGUUGGAAAACUCAGCAGCUGUUUUAACAAUUGAAAAGCGGCCCUACAGGACCAGUGAGAGACGGAGCAGAGUGUGUGAAGCCAUUAAGGCUGACUAGAUGAAAUGAGCUGGUCCUACACUGAGAAGACAGGAGGGAUCUUGUCUAAUCCACUGUGUUGGAAAGCUCCUGAAAGAUCCUAAAGAGACAGGAAAUACAGGAGAGCAAUGCGUGGUGAACCCCACAGCCUGGAAGAAAGGAGGCUGAGAUGAGGAAGUGGCCCCUUGACAUCUGAUGAAAUGCUGAUAAAUAAAACUAACGGAACUUCAUGGAAAGAGGUCGAAACCACUGUCGUACUGUCUUCAGAAAAAGCUUUACUAUCCACAGCAGCAUUAUUCCCAAUUGCCAAAAGGUGGAAACAACCUAAGUGUCCAUCAACAGUCAGGUUCACCUUGAACACCAUUGUUACUCCACGUUGGAUUUUCCCGGGACUUACAUCUAAAUUGAUCUUCCCUUGUCACCUUCUAUUUGGCAUAUCACACCCAUUCACUGGGCUGGCUUCCUCCCAUCAUCUGCACCUGUGUCCACCCCGUCAGGGUAUGUACCUCUUUUUUUUGUGUACCUCCUUUUUGUUCUUCUACCCUGUCCCAUCCUACUGAAGCUAAUUUUAAUGAUAUGUGAUGUGUGAUAUCAAUGUUACCUGAGAGAAAUCUCUUUAACCAUCAUAAUAAGCAGGACACUGAUACAUAUUAACACAAAAGUCCAAUAUUAUUCUGUUUUUGGUCUAACCUCUUAAUAAGCAUAAUAUGUCUAAAUUCCGUCAAGAUUGGGAAUUUAUGUCUCUGUCUUGCAGAAGUUAAUCUUGAAUGCAAUAUGAUUUUUGUAUUAAUUCUAUUUAUGUUCUCCUUAUCAACAUAACAUCUGAACGUGUUGGGAACUAUUCACAAUGUAAGUUUUACAAUUUGCAAUUUCACAUGAAGAGAUAUGAGAAGUGUCCUACAGCAAAAGCUGAGUUGAACAGAACACAUCUUACACUCAUGGGGACAGGGAAUGCUUUGCUAUACAAUCCUUAUUUCCCACCUACCAAGCACACUUUGGGAAAUGUUACCCUAGAGAAAGCUCUUUAACCAUUACGAUAAGCAGAAAGAAGCUAACAUAUACUGACCACCACCUGGUGCCAAACACUACAUAUUUGAUAUAGUUGGUUUUUACAAAAAUCUUCUGAUAGUGUUUUCUUAUUAUCCUUUUUCAGUUAUGGAAGUUGAGAUUCACUAAUUUAGGCACACUUGUUCACGUUCACAGCUGGUACAACUAGGAGCAGAAUUUGUAUCUGACUCCAAAUCCCAUGCUCUUUCUACAAAAUUUUGCUAUACCCAUUCAUUACAUUCUUUUUUAUUAAAGUGGAUUUCUUGAAGGAUUUGGGAUAAAAGCUCUUAAACUAUCUUGACUACUUCUAUUGGAAAAAACCAACAACAAUAAACCAAAAAACCACAAAAACCCAUUUUUACCUGAUUAUCUUUUCAUUUUACUGGGAAGCAACUUAGCACAUGCUGUCUCCUCAGUUCACAGAGGAGGUGAAGGAGAUAGAUGUUAAAUUAUUUGGUGAUGAAGCAAGAAAGUCCAAAGGAAAGUUAAAGAUUUGCAAAAUAGUGUUAAUGAUAAUUUUCUUUAGGAAAACAUUAAUUUAUGUCAGAACAUUGGCUCUCCACCUAUAUUUUUAUUUAUUUUUAUUUUUUUAAUCCACCUGUAUUUUUAAAAAUCCAUUUUAACUUUGAAAAUUUUCUUAAUAAUUAAUCUAUAUUCUGGGAUUAGCCUUUAAUGUUUUAUGGGGAAAAUGGAUUUUUGUCAUAUUGCUAGAACCUUAUUGAACUAAGAAUAAUAUAAAAAGAAAGGCUAGUUUUCCUUUUGGAGAAAAUGAUUCUAGAUUUUGCUAAUUAUUGAAAUAAUACAUUUUCAUAAAAAAACUUACAAACUUUUGCUAGAGUACUUGACUAUUGUAAUAUUUUGUUCAUUACAAAUUGCCAAAUUCUGACUGUCUUCUGUGUUUUACAUAAAAAUAUGAUACUUCUAAAGACAUAGAA